CAAUAGCGUAUAUUUAAGUUGUUGCAGUUAAAAAGCUCGUAGUCGGAUUUUGGCUGAGAACGAUCGGUCCGCCGUUAGGUGUGCACUGAUUGGUCUCAGCUUCCUGGUGAGGAGGUGUGCUUCACGGCCACUUAGUCACCGUGGUUACUUUGAAAAAAUUAGAGUGUUCAAAGCGGGCUUACGCUUGAAUAUAUUAGCAUGGAAUAACACCAUAGGACUCCUGUCCUAUUUCGUUGGUCUCGGGACGGGAGUAAUGAUUAAGAGGAACAGUUGGGGGCAUUCGUAUUUCAUUGUCAGAGGUGAAAUUCUUGGAUUUAUGAAGGACGAACUUCUGCGAAAGCAUUUGCCAAGGAUGUUUUCAUUGA
rnacentral:rRNA from 1 species